UACAGAGGUCUCAAGCGUUGUUCGGAUUCAUUGGGCGUAAAGAGCGUGUAGGCGGCCAGGUAGGUCCGGUGUGAAAACUGGAGGCUCAACCUUCAGAGGUCGACCGAAACCCCCUGGCUAGAGUCCGGGAGAGGAGAGUGGAAUUCCUGGUGUAGCGGUGAAAUGCGCAGAUAUCAGGAAGAACACCCGUGGCGAAAGCGGCUCUCUGGAACGGUACUGACGCUGAGGUGCGAAAGCGUGGGGAGCAAACAGG
rnacentral:rRNA from 1 species